rnacentral:piRNA from 1 species
UGCAUUUGUAUGUGGCUGGGCUG